rnacentral:rRNA from 1 species
UACGUAGGUGGCAAGCGUUGUCCGGAUUUACUGGGCGUAAAGAGCGCGCAGGCGGUCGUCCAAGUCGCGUGUGAAAGCCCCCGGCUCAACUGGGGAGGGUCACGCGAUACUGGUCCGACUCGAAGGCAGGAGAGGGUAGUGGAAUUCCCGGUGUAGUGGUGAAAUGCGUAGAUAUCAGGAGGAACACCCGUGGCGAAGGCGGCUUUCUAGGAUAUACCUGACACUGAGAAGCGACAGCUAGGGGAGCAAACAGG